rnacentral:rRNA from 1 species
CAACUUUCAACAACGGAUCUCUUGGUUCUGGCAUCGAUGAAGAACGCAGCGAAAUGCGAUACGUAGUGUGAAUUGCAGAAUUCAGUGAAUCAUCGAAUCUUUGAACGCACAUUGCGCCCUUUGGUAUUCCAAAGGGCAUGCCUGUUCUAGCGUCAU